AUGAUGCUUCUUAAAAAGUAUUUUCUGCUAGUGAGCAUGGGGUGUUGAAGAAGUCGACUCUAGCAAAAACUUGCAUUGAAAUAUACGACGAUUUUGAAACUAUCGCCAUCAACAUUAACGCGCACAAAUAAAAGCAAAUGUCACUUAAGUGCCGUGAAAGACGUGUGUGACCGAAUGGAAAUGUCAUGCGUUCACCAUACCACCAUCUUCAGAGAGUGAGAGAGAGAGUAAGCCACCUGAAGCCAAAUCCCCCAGACAUGAGAUAUAAGCCGAUCGAUGAAUAUGAACCGCUUUGGCCUAUUUUCAAUCCAAACCAAACUAACUCAUCAUCAGGAAGUAUUUGUGAAAAUACGGCUAGCUUUACUCUUUCAUCAGACGGACGGACAUCGCUUUAUCUAGCAUGAAUGUCAUGGGGAUCAAGAAUAUAUGUAGAAAUUUUAUAUGGUCAUAGACCAAUUUCUCGAGAUGUUUGACACGGCGUAACGAAGAUAGGGUACCACCCUUGUAAGACUCAAAAACGGCUGAAUCCAAAAAUUUUCACAGAUGGUAGAGUUUGAGCCCCCGGUGAAAAUAGGGUACUAAAUUUUUUCAUAUACGAAGGGGGGCGGACCCUCCCCCUUACCCUCAUUUUCAAAAACACCAGAUCACGGAGAUGUGUGCACCGAUUUAAGCUAAAUUUUGUAUGCCCAAAAAGACGAAGUUGGUAUUACAUUUUGUGGUUAAAUAACUUGAGGGGACGCC